GAUGAAGAACGCAGCGAAAUGCGAUAAGUAAUGUGAAUUGCAGAAUUCAGUGAAUCAUCGAAUCUUUGAACGCACCUUGCGCCCUUUGGCCAUUCCGAAGGGCAUGCCUGUUUGAGUAUCAUGAACACCUCAACUCUUCAUGGUUUUCCAUGAUGAGCUUGGACUUUGGGGGUCUUGCUGGCCUGUGGGUCGGCUCCUCUCAAAUGAAUCAGCUUGCCGGUUUUUGGUGGGCAUCACAGGUGUGAUAACUAUCUACGCUUGUGGUUUUCAACCAGGGUAACCUUCAGCAGUGGAGGUUCACUGGAGCUUACAAAUGUCUCUCCUCUGUGAGGACAGCCCUUUGAAUGUUUGAUCUCAAAUCAGGUAGGACUACCCGCUGAACUUAAGCAUAUCAAUAAGCGGAGGA
rnacentral:misc_RNA from 1 species